rnacentral:rRNA from 1 species
UACGAAGGGGGCUAGCGUUACUCGGAAUUACUGGGCGUAAAGGGCGCGUAGGCGGCGAGAUAAGUCAGGCGUGAAAUUCCCGGGCUCAACCUGGGGACUGCGCUUGAGACUGUUUUGCUAGAGGAUGGAAGAGGGUCGUGGAAUUCCCAGUGUAGAGGUGAAAUUCGUAGAUAUUGGGAAGAACACCGGUGGCGAAGGCGGCGACCUGGUCCAUUACUGACGCUGAGGCGCGACAGCGUGGGGAGCAAACAGG